rnacentral:rRNA from 1 species
AUUGAACGCUGGCGGCAGGCCUAACACAUGCAAGUCGAACGGUAGCACAGAGAGCUUGCUCUCAGGUGACGAGUGGCGGACGGGUGAGUAAUGUCUGGGAAACUGCCCCAUGGGGGGGGAUAACUACUGGAAACGGUAGCUAAUACCGCAUAACGUCGCAAGACCAAAGUGGGGGACCUUCGGGCCUCACACCAUCGGAUGUGCCCAGAUGGGAUUAGCUAGUAGGUGGGAUAAUGGCUCACCUAGGCGACGAUCCCUAGCUGGUCUGAGAGGAUGACCCGCCACACGGGAACUGAGACACGGUCCAGACUCCUACGGGAGGCAGCAGUGGGGAAUAUUGCACAAUGGGCGCAAGCCUGAUGCAGCCAUGCCGCGUGUAUGAAGAAGGCCUUCGGGUUGUAAAGUACUUUCAGCGGGGAGGAAGGCGGUGAAGUUAAUAGCUUCACCGAUUGACGUUACCCGCAGAAGAAGCACCGGCUAACUCCGUGCCAGCAGCCGCCGUAA